rnacentral:rRNA from 1 species
UACGUAGGGGGCUAGCGUUGUCCGGAAUUAUUGGGCGUAAAGCGCGCGCAGGCGGUCUGUUAAGUCUGGUGUUUAAUCCCGGGGCUCAACCCCGGUACGCAUCUGGAAACUGGCAGACUUGAGUGCAGGAGAGGAAAGCGGAAUUCCACGUGUAGCGGUGAAAUGCGUAGAGAUGUGGAGGAACACCAGUGGCGAAGGCAGCCUUCUGGGCCAACACUGACGCUCAUGCACGAAAGCGUGGGGAGCAAACAGG